UACGUAGGGGACGAGCGUUGUCCGGAAUUACUGGGCGUAAAGGGCGCGCAGGCUGUAGAUCAAGUCAGCUGUGAAAUGUCUGGGCUUAACCCGGGCAUGCGUUUGAAACUGCAGUUCUUGAGUGAUGGAGAGGCAGGCGGAAUUCCUAGUGUAGCGGUGAAAUGCAUAGAUAUUAGGAGGAACACCAGUGGCGAAGGCGGCCUGCUGGACAUUAACUGACGCUGAGGCGCGAAAGCGUGGGGAGCAAACAGGAUUA
rnacentral:rRNA from 1 species